GAGGCACUGUGCAAACCCCUAGCUUAGGCAGAGGCAGUCCCUGCCCUGAAGAGCUUACAGGCUAUUUUAUGCUCGUUGCACAAGGUGUCUUUGUCUGCCGCUGGCUUUGCGUUUCUUGCAGCCUGUCUAGUGGUUAUGUUUGUUGCCGUCACUUUGCUAAAUUAACUGUAACGUUUUGAACUUAACUCAGAAAAUGUUGUUUAAAAACGAUGGGAGACUCUGAAAGCAAAUCUGCUGGGGCCAGUUUGUGUGUGCUCCUCUCUCCAGGACCCUCUGGGCUGGUCUGAGAGUCACCGAGGUGCUUGUAGCACAGCAGCCCCCUCGCGUUCUCAGUGACGCUCGGAAAUGUAGGCAUCUCGAGCCUCCGCACUUCCUGGCAGGGGGUUGUUUUAUCAUAGACAUUUGCUGUCUCUCUGAGCCGCUUGCAUGUUCUGCUGGAAACAGUGAGUCUCCUCCGUGCGCCGCUGAACCGAUUGUUAGAUGCAAUUCUGGGAAACAAUCCCAGGCUUCUUUCUCAUAAACAGAAACUUGAAAGCGCCUGGGUUCUUUCUUUUCGCAGAGCCAGACUGGGUGAUGCCAAUCUGAUUGGAAAGGACAGAAAAGAGAGCGAGUUGGGGGAACGCCAGGAUGAAGCUACAGCUUGCCCUGCCUGUUUUGGGGCUCCUGCUCUGUGCGGCUGACACCAUGGCGCAGGAUAGCGGUAAGUUAAUUUUACCAUCAAGGUUUUUAACCAUUAUAAAUAUCUCAGAAGUGCUGCUGCUAAGAUUGAUCCUGCCAUUGCUAACCGCUCAGAGGGAAUCUAAAAAAUGGGGCAUCUUUAACCACUAAGGGCAUAUGCCCAUUUGUCUGAGCGCCCGUAUGAGUGUGAACGUGCAAGUGUGUGUCUGGGCCUAACCCAGAACCCACUGAAGUCAAUGGGAGUCUUUCCAUUGACUCCAGUGGGUGCUGAGCCAGCCCCUCCCUGCAUGUCUGUCUCUCUGUGUGUUGGGUCAUAGAGAAUGUCUUUACUACUUCUUUUUCAAAAUACAAAUCCAGAAAACUUCAUACCUGCACACUGGGUUCCUCCUGGCUCCUUUGCAGUCAGUCGGGGAGUCUUAUUAUUAACAACAGUUACUGAGUUUCCCCACCUGUAACAUGGGGAUACUGAUUCUGAUCUGCGUGAAGCACUGUGAGAGCUACCGAGGAAUGAGCUAGGUACUAUAUUAUAUAAUAGUGGCAUUGGGAUGGCACCCAGGCCGUAUUUAGGAGCUGGGCCGCAAUCGGUUUGUGUUACUGCACCUGUAUUUAUUCCCUUUCCCUAAAUCAACGUUCUGCGUGGGGAUAAAGCAGCCAAUCACCUUCCCCUCUAAUCAAAGGCUUUGUCUGUGGGAUUUCAUCUCUGUAGUUUUAGUGAGUGUGAGCUCCCAGGCUCUGUAAAGCAAGUGCUGGCUAAAACCAUACACCAGGGCAGGUGGGAACACAGAUCUUUCUUUUAUUGGCUUAGGCACCUUUCUUUUGUCUAGUGUCUCUGGUACACACUGUGGGUCUGAUUCUGACCCCCUCCCUAGCACUGCUUUAGUGUGGUUGUAGCUUCGGAAUUUCAGUGCAGUUCCUCACGCUCACAAAUCGCUCUACAGAGUUAAACAAAACCAUUUCUAACCUCAGGCCCUGAUCCUGCAGCAGGCAAACCCAUGGAACCACACAGACUCCUGCAGUUCUCAU
ensembl:lncRNA